rnacentral:rRNA from 1 species
CCUACGGGUGGCAGCAGUGAGGAAUAUUGGUCAAUGGUCGGGAGACUGAACCAGCCAAGCCGCGUGAGGGAGGAAGGUACAGAGUAUCGUAAACUUCUUUUGUCAGGGAACAAAGACUGGGACGCGUCCCCGGAUGAGUGUACCUGAAGAAAAAGCAUCGGCUAAAUCCGUGCCAGCAGCCGCGGUAAUACGGAGGAUUCUAGCGUUAUCCGGAUUUAUUGGGUGAAAGGGGGGCGCAGGCGGUCUGACAAGGCAGCGGUAAAAGCCCGGGGCUCAACCCCGGCGCGCCGUUGAAACUGGCAGUCUGGAGUUGGAGAGAAGUAUGCGGAAUGCGCGGUGUAGCGGUGAAAUGCAUAGAUAUCGCGCAGAACUCCGAUUGCGAAGGCAGCAUGCCGGCUCCCAACUGACGCUGAGGCACGAAAGCGUGGGUAUCGAACAGGAUUAGAUACCCGAGUAGUC